ACGCACGUGUGAAACUUGAAGGAAUUGACGGAAGGGCACCACAAGAACGCGUGGAGCAUGUGGCUUAAUUUGACCCAACGCGGGAAAUCUUACCGGGUCCGGACACACUGAGGAUUGACAGGCAAUAUUAAAUAAAGAAAAUUUUUGGACUAUCUGAUAUUUAUGUUAAAUAUGCUAGUCCUUUCAUGAUUAUGUGAUAGGUGGUGCAUGGCCGUUCUUAGUUCGUGGAGUGAUCUGUCUGCUUAAUUGCGUUUCACUAAGGGCUUAUCUAAUUAUAACGUGUGUUGCUAGAGUUUUAUACCUUUGUGACCCCUUUAAUUAGUGUGUGUCUAUAAUGGUAGCUUUGGCUCACACAAUUAAGUCCUGAAAGCAACGAACGUGACCG
rnacentral:rRNA from 1 species